GAUGAACGCUAGCGGCAGGCCUAAUACAUGCAAGUCGAACGGUGUCUUCGGACAUAGUGGCGCACGGGUGCGUAACACGUAUGCAACCUACCUUACAUUGGGGGAUAGCCUUUCGAAAGGGAGAUUAAUACCGCAUAAGACAGUAGCUGGGCAUCCAGCAGCUGUUAAAGAUUUAUCGAUGUAAGCUGGGCAUGCGUCCAAUUAGCUAGUUGGUGAGGUAACGGCUCACAAAGGCAAUGAUUGGUAGGGGAACUGAGAGGUCAAUCCCCCACACUGGCAAUGGGAUACGGGCCAGACUCCUACGGGAGGCAGCAGUAGGGAAUAUUGGGCAAUGGACGCAAGUCUGACCCAGCCAUGCCGCGUGCAGGAUGAAGGCGUUAUGCGUUGUAAACUGCUUUUAUACAGGAAGAAACGACUCUUGCGAGAGGCAUUGACGGUACUGUAUGAAUAAGCACCGGCUAACUCCGUGCCAGCAGCCGCCGCGGUAA
rnacentral:rRNA from 1 species